rnacentral:lncRNA from 1 species
AGGUUUACAAGUUUAAAGAAAUAUUUGAAUUUAUGAUGGUAGUUCCUUAUUCUCAUUUGAUGCUGUCUAAAAUUCAAUUAUAUUAUCAUAAAUCAAAAAUAAUUAUUAAUAGAAUCAUAAAGAUAUUUAGCUUAUUUCAUGAUAUAUGAUGGUUAAAAAAUAAUACAAGAAAAUAUAAUAUCAUCAUCAAAUAUGAUUGACAA